ACAAGGGCCCCUCCAUUCCACAGGUGGAGGUCUUGUCAUCUGGGCUGGGGGAUGGCUGAAGAACUGGCUGGUGAUCUGUUUACAUACUUGCGAGAGGAAAAGCAGAGAUGGGAGAGCUGAAGGAACAGGGAUGUGAGAUUACCAGCUGAAAGCUAUAUAGCAGGCCAGUAACAAAUCCAGGAAUAGAAGCCAAGUCUCUUAAAUUGCAGUCUGAUGCUCUAAUUAAGAAGAAAUUUUGCCCUCUGAUGCUGCAGUGAGGGCACUGACUAUCUGCACUUCACCUUGCCUUCAUAGAAGACUGUGGCUAGUUAGGAUCUCAGAAAAAGGAAAUAAAGUUGUGUAUGUCCAGCAAGGAUUUUCUUGGUACUGAAAGUCACCUUUGGAAAUAUUGCUGUAAAUGCACUGGAAGGAUCAAAAGCUCAAGUCUGCCUCCAGUUCAGCUGGAGGGGAACCUACUACCGAAGACCCAAGAGGCAGAAAUGCUGCCAAUACGGAAGCCUAUUACAGAACCCAGUGCUGCCUGGCAUAUUGGGGAGUAUUUGUCACAAUUUUGGCCAAGAUCUUCAUCACGGUCAUCUUGCGGUUGACUAGCCCAGCGAGGUUUAUCAUCUCCUCGGCCGUUCUCAAAAAUGCUGCUAUAAAUUUAGGAUCAUUUGCUACUCUGAUAUGAUGCUCAGCCAAAAUUCCUACUGGAAACAAGGGGAUGUUUGCUUGAGGAAAGGCAGCAGGACAGGCUCCAGAGCUUGGCUGCAAGGAACACAGCAAAAUGAAAAUUAAUUUUGCAUCUUUCAGAAUUCUAAUGACAAUGAGGCUGCACCCCAAGGCACGGCCGCCGUGGUUGUCUGAAACAAGGAAGAGUCACCCUUUUCGCUUCAUCCAUUGCACUGGUCACUGGCAAUCCGAGCCUGAGCAAAGGCAGAAGACGACUCCUACAGAGAACUUGAAGUGGCUUGUUUGGGAGAAGAAACGAGAUUUUUAAUGCUUUUCCCAAAUACUGCAACACAUGAUAAAAGUUUAUGGAUUGUGAAUUAACUGAAAGAUUGCAGAAUGGGAAAAAAUGCUUGUUACAGGAAGCCCUGGAGACCUACAACACAAGCACCCUGAAAUCUGUGACCAAGCCCACAGAACAUCUCCCAGGUUACUUGAGCCACUAAGGUGACUGAUAUUCUUGAUACGAUUUUCCACUCCCAGCCAGCUUCCCCCUACCCUCCCCCCACACACACUGGGAGAAGAUGUGUCUUUUCUUCAUUUGGCCUGAGGAGAGACUGCAAAACGUAUUCUUAGCAGUCAAAAUUUCAGUUUAGGAAACUAGCAACAGCAGCUCAGAUUAAAAACCAAACCCAACCACUGGCAGUGUGAAUUUGCAUUUGGGAGACGGUGCUUGCUUUAGAAUAUACAGUUCAAAAGAUAAUCUGCAACAUAAAGGUUUACAAUUUUGUACGUAUUUAAUAACACAUCUGUGUGAUGAAACAUGAAAUGUAUGAUUAAAGUAAUGACUAAGAGCCAUAUGUAAAUAUUAUGCAAAUAAAAAUUUUCCUUUCUAGAGGUUAGAGACACUGUUCUAAAAUUUGGUAUAGUUAACACUCCCUCAAAUUUUUAAUGUCAUUAAAGUUUAAGAGUUAAUCUGCA